rnacentral:rRNA from 1 species
GAGAGUUAAACAGUACGUGAAAUUGUUGAAAGGGAAACGAUUAAAGUCAGUCGUACCUACGAGUAAUCAACCUACACGAGCGCGAUUUUGUGGGUAUGAAGAGGUAAAACCUUCAUGCUUUCAAAUUGGUGUUCUUUGGGCGUACUUUCUCGUAUGGUAGGUUAACAUCAAUUUCGAUCGUUAUAAAAUGACGGGAGGAAUGUAGCUUCGAUUUCGGUUGAAGUGUUAUAGCCUCUGGUAGAUGUAAUGAUUGGGAUUGAGGAUUGCAACGGAUACCCUCUGGGCUAUUCGUCUGAUCUCUGGAAGUUACCUUGGUGUCGAAAGCGUGCUUAUGACAUUAAGAAUGACGGUCAAAAGGUUAGAACGGAAUUAAAUUCGUUAAGGAUGUUGACGUAAUGGCUUUAAACGA